GAGGUUAUAGCUCAGUGGUAGAGCACAUGUUUAGCAUGCAUGAUGUUCUAGGUUCCAUCCCUAGAACUUCC
rnacentral:tRNA from 1 species